rnacentral:rRNA from 1 species
GACAGAGGGUGCAAACGUUGUUCGGAUUUACUGGGCGUAAAGCGUGUGUAGGCGGCUUGGCAAGUUGGAUGUGAAAGCCCACGGCUCAACCGUGGAAGGGCAUCCAAAACUGCUUCGCUCGAGUCUCGGAGAGGAAGGUGGAAUGCUUGGUGUAGAGGUGAAAUUCGUAGAUAUCAAGCGGAACACCUGCGGCGAAGGCGGCCUUCUGGACGAUGACUGACGCUGAGACACGAAAGCGUGGGGAGCAAACAGG